GGAUGUGAGGUCAAUCUGGCUGCGACAUCUGUCACCCCACUGAUCGCCAGGGUUGAUUCGGCUGAUCUGGUGGGCUAGGCAGGUGUCCCCUUGCUCUGUCACCGCUCCAUGUGCGUCCCUCCCGAAGCUGCACGCUCUGUCAAAGAGGACGACCAUCCCCAAUAGAGGAGGACCGUUCUUCAGUCAAGGGUAUACGAGUAGCUGCACUCCCCUGCUAGAACCUCCAAACAAGAAACGUCAAUACCUUAAGCUGUGUUUGGGUAAGUGUGAUAAGAUCUGCCCCUUGCCACCAUUCUACAGCCUGAGCCCCAGCUGGUUUCA
rnacentral:snRNA from 1 species